CCUACGGGAGGCAGCAGUGAGGAAUAUUGGUCAAUGGACGAGAGUCUGAACCAGCCAAGUAGCGUGAAGGAUGACUGCCCUAUGGGUUGUAAACUUCUUUUAUAAAGGAAUAAAACGAGGCACGUGUGCCUUUUUGCAUGUACUUUAUGAAUAAGGAACGGCUAACUCCGUGCCAGCAGCCGCGGUAAUACGGAGGAUCCGAGCGUUAUCCGGAUUUAUUGGGUUUAAAGGGAGCGUAGAUGGGUUGUUAAGUCAGUUGUGAAAGUUUGCGGCUCAACCGUAAAAUUGCAAUUGAUACUGGCAGUCUUGAGUACAGUUGAGGUAGGCGGAAUUCGUGGUGUAGCGGUGAAAUGCUUAGAUAUCACGAAGAACCCCGAUUGCGAAGGCAGCUUACUAAACUGUAACUGACGCUGAGGCACGAAAGUGUGGGGAGCAAACAGGAUUAGAUACCCGUGUAGUC
rnacentral:rRNA from 1 species